AGAUUCCUCAGCUGGAGUUUGAAAUUCCUCCAGAAGCACAACGUGGAUCUUUAUCAACUGUGGAAGGGGUAUUACUAAGAGCUUCUGAAGAAUUGCAAGCCCUUCAAGAAGAGAGAAAGAAAGUGGAUCCUGAAACUACAGAGGCAAUAGACAAGUUUACAUUGAGAUUGAAAGAGUGUGCAACAGGAAAUUUAUCUUUUACCUUCAU